rnacentral:rRNA from 1 species
AUGAACGCUAGCGACAGGCUUAACACAUGCAAGUCGAGGGGUAACAGGGUAGCAAUACCGCUGACGACCGGCGCACGGGUGAGUAACGCGUAUGCAACCUGCCUAUAACUGGGGAAUAGCUCCCUGAAAGGGGAAUUAACACCGCAUAACACUAUUGAUUCGCAUGGAUUAGUAGUUAAAUGUAGCGAUACAGGUUAUAGAUGGGCAUGCGUGACAUUAGCUAGUUGGUGAGGUAACGGCUCACCAAGGCUACGAUGUCUAGGGGUUCUGAGAGGAAGGUCCCCCCACACUGGUACUGAGACACGGACCAGACUCCUACGGGAGGCAGCAGUGAGGAAUAUUGGUCAAUGGGCGCAAGCCUGAACCAGCCAUGUCGCGUGCAGGAAGAACCUGCCCUAUGGGUUGUAAACUGCUUUUAUAGUAGAAGAAACACAUCUACGCGUAGAUGUCUGCCAGUAUACUAUGAAUAAGCAUCGGCUAACUCCGUGCCAGCCGCGGC